GGUAACAAAAGGAAAUUGAGCACUGCCAUAGCAUUAGUUGGCAAUCCUCCAAUAGUAUUUCUGGAUGAGCCAACAACAGGGAUGGAUCCAGUAGCUAGGCGACAUCUGUGGGAUGUUUUAUCCAAUAUACGUGAUUCUGGGAGAACGCUUGUAUUAACAUCACAUAGCAUGGAGGAGUGUGAAGCCUUAUGUACUAGACUGGCUAUCAUGGUCAAUGGACAGUUUAAAUGUUUAGGUAGUCCACAACAUCUAAAGAACAAGUUCGGUGAAGGGUAUUCUCUACUAGCCAGAGUUGGAACACCAUCAGAUGGCACAGAACCAAAUAUUCAACCAUUAAUGAGAUUCAUUAAAGAAAAAUUUCCUGACAGUGAAAUUAAAGAUGUACAUCAAGAAAUGAUUCAUUAUCAUGUUAAAGACACAAAAUUGACGUGGGCCAAGAUAUUUGGAUUAAUGGAACAAGCAAAGAUUAAAUACAAUAUAGAAGACUAUUCUGUUAGUCAAACAACAUUAGAACAGGUUUUCAUUAAUUUUGCAAGGUCACAAAUUCCACCGAUAGAAACAAAAUUACAAUGUUGCCAAAAGUGUUCUAUUGUUUGUGGUUUAUGUUGUUGUAAUAAUUCUUAAUUUGUUUAUUUUUGUUUGUUUCUUACUGUGAUAAAUUGUGUAAUAACUAUAUGUCUGACGAGUACUCAAAACAUUAGUGAUUUUUAAAAAUAGUACUGACAUUCAUGCAUAGAUUUUAUUGAAUCAAGUGGAAUAUAUAAUUUUAGAAUUAAGAACAAUAUAUACUGAUUUUUUGCAAUUUUGUUGAUUACAUGUUGAUCGUAUAUAAUUAAGGUUUUUAACACAUAAACAAUAUAUAUUUAUAAUAAAUUUUUUUAGCUCAAUUUUUAUAAUAUGUAUAAAUUUAAAUUUUGAUAUGAUGGUAAUAUUAGGUAGUUGAAUUGAUAAACUGUUAAAAAUAAUUAUAGAUCAACAUUCUUGUAAUUAAAAUCGAUUUAUAUAGGUGGAUUGUUUGAAUACAGUGAAAACUUAUUGUUCAUUAAAGCAGUGGCGGAUCCAGGGGGGUUCUGGGGGCUGGAAACCCCCCCCCCCCCCUUUUUUUUGACGAUCAAUGCAUUUGAAUGGGGAUAUAUAGUUGGAACCCCCCCUUUUAAAAAUGGCUGGAUCCGCCCCUGUAAAGGACUGUUUUAUUUUGAAGUGUGGUACCUGAAUUUCUUUAAUACUCCUAUUUAAUAGUACAAAUAGUGCACAUGAUUGUGAAUUGCAUCUCAAGUUGUAAGUAACCUACAUAUAUAUCGUGUUUCCAUGGUACCAUAACAGUUUAAGUGGAACAGUCCUGCAUAGUUUCAGCAAUUUUUUUUAGGACAUUUGUAAUAUUUUGUACCUGUGUAUUUAUGUAUGUGUUCUUUGUAUUUUUUCUUAUCUGUGAUAAAAUAAACAAUUCCACCUAUCUUAAUAACAAUUAUCUUUUAAGAAACUCAAAUGAGUGUGUGUGAUUUAAGGCCUUUUUAGACCCUUUAUUUGAUAUGAGAUAUAAUUUAAAUGAUGAUGAUUAGACUGUAUUUAAUUGAAUUAACACAAAAAAAAUUUAAAUACUACUUUCUUUCUAUUAAAAACGUAUUACAAACCCCUUCCUGUCAACACAAAUUUUGAUCAAUUGAUGUUUUUUUUUUUAAAACAUGAACAUGCGAGUGAUAUUGGCCACAAUACCGGAUCAACAAACCAAGAUGCCCUUUUAAUAUGGUAAUUUGUAAGGUAACAGUUAGAUAAGAGAUUUGGGGUGUUUCUAAGACACAUUAUUUUGACUCCAUGACCUCUAGGAUUUGUUCAUACUUUGAUUGGUUAAUGCCUAGCAAAAAGGAGCAAAUGAAGAUUAUGAAGUUAGAUUCAACCUGCCUUUGAAAUCAAAUGCAUGACCUCUCGCAUCUCUGGUACAAAUAUUUGGUUUUUUUUAUGCCCCCGCCGUUUUUCAUUCCAUUCUCUAACUAGUUUGCCUCAACAAAAUGUUAUGAAACUUAUACACCACACUUAUUACCACAAAACACAUAUCAAGUUUGAAUUUUGGUGGCAUCACUUUUACUGUUCUAGAGUUAUGCCUCUUUACAAAUGGAAAAAAUGCUGAAUUUUUUGUUUCCAUUCUCUAACUUAAGUUUGCCUCAACCAAAUGUUAUGACUCUUAUACACAAUGCUUAUUACCACAAAACUCAGAUCAAGUUUGAAUUUUGAUGGCAUCACUUUUACCGUUCUAGCGUUAUAAAAUUUAUAAUGGAAAUGGGGAGUGUGUCAGAGAGACAGUAACCCGACCAAAGAGCAGAAAACAGCUCAAGGCCACCAAUGGGUCUUCAACACAGCGAAAAAAUCCCGCUCCUGGAGGCAGGCUUCAGCUGGCCUUGAAACAAAAAGGUGUACUAGUUCAGAGAAAAUGGACGUCACACUUAACUCCGAAACAUAUAGAUGAACCAAAAUUAAAAAAAGAACAUACAGAUCAUUUUGGCAAAUUUUUAAAAUCUAAUUUUUGGAAAUAAUUAUCUCAGUUGUAAGGCAAAUUCACAUCUGGAUGUGUAUAGUUUUUAUGCCCCCUCUGUAGCGGUGGGGGUAUUAAGUUUUACCCUUGUCCGUCUGUACAUACAUACGUACGCACGUCCCAAAAUUGCUUUCCAUUCUCUAACUUGAGUUUGCCUCAACCAAAUGUUAUGAAACUUAUACCAAUGCUUAUUACCACAAAACACAGAUUAAGUUUGAAUUUUGGUGGCGUCACUUUAACCGUUCUAGAGUUAUGCCCCUUUAUAAAUGGAAAAAUUGCAAAAUUUUUAGUUUCCGUUCUCUAACUUAAGUUUGCACAAUCAAAUGUUAUGAAACUUAUGCACAAUGAUUAUUACCACAAAACACAGAUCAAGUUUGAAUUUUGGUGGCGUCACUUUAAUGGUUCUAGAGUUAUGCCCCUUUAUAAAUGGAAAAAUUGAAAAAAAUUUAUUUUCUUCUAAAUAUCAAGUAAUUUUUAAAAUUGGAGUUAUCUUCCUUUGACCAUGAUUACAGUUGAAUCAACUACAAUCAAUGCUUUAUACAAUGCAAUUUUUAAUUUUGACUUCCACUGAUAAAACACAGAUCAAGUUGAAUUUGGGUAGCGUCACUUUAACCAUUAUUGAGUUAUGCCCCUUUAUAAAUGAAAGAUUGCAAAAUUUUAAGUUUCCAUUCUGUAACUUAAGUUUGCCCCAACCAAACAUUAUGAAACCUAUACACAAUAUUCAUUACCACAAAACUAAGAUCAAGUACAAUUUUUUUGUUUCCGUUUUCUAACUUUAGUUUGCCUCAAUCAAAUGUUAUGAAACUUAUACACAAUGCUUAUUACUACAUAAUACAGAUUAAGUACGAAAUUUGGUGGUGACACUUUUACCAUUCUUGAGUUAUGUCCCUUUAUAAACAUAAAAAUUGCUGAAUUUUUCGUUUCCGUUCUCUAACUUUAGUUUGUCUCAACCAAAUGUUUUAAAACUUAUACACAACAGUUCUAGAGUUAUGCGUGUUUACAAAUAGAAAAAUUGCUGAAUUUUUAGUUUCUGUUCUCUACUUAAGUUAGCCUCAACCAAAUGUUAUGAGACUUACACACAAUGCUUAUUAACACAAAACUCAGAUCAAGUUCAAAUUUGGGUAGCAUCACUUUUACCGUUCUUCAGUUAUGUCCCUUUAUAACUAUAUGAUAUGCAAGCGGGGGCAUCAUCUGUGUCCACAUGUGGACACUAUCCACAUUUAUUUUUACCUGCGUUGAUAAAGGCAGAAGCAGGUCUAGUAACUGCUCUUCUGCGAAACGUCCUUUCUAAAGAAAACUUUGACAAAGUUUAUUAUACCCCACGCAACGAGUUGCGGAGGGUAUAAUGUUUAUGACCCGUCUGUCCGUCCAUACGUCAGUCCGUCAGUCCUGUUUCUUGUCAUCGCAACUCCUCUCAAACCACACAACAGAAUUUCACGAAACCUAUAUGAACUAUUGCACACUAAUGAUACCUUCACAAAGUAUUUGGUAAUGAAAGAACCUUAGUUUUGUUAAUCCUUUAAUUAGGAUUUAGUGACCAAUAUCAAAAUGAAUCAUAGCUAAUACAACGACUAGAUAAGAAAUAUGUCUUUUUGUUGAAAAUUUACAUACUUGUGCUCUAUUCAUGACGUUACAAAUAGCACUCGUGUUGAUUUUCCAUGAAAAUUCAAUGAAAAGGGUAAAUUUCCAUUGAUUUUUUGGAAAGGAAACAUUGAGCUCAUGUGUUGACAAAAAAGAUCUUUUAACAUAAUGUUUGUUAUGACAUUUUACAUAUCUGAUGAUAUUUGUUGAAGCCUGUGUUCUAUAUCCCUAUGCCGUAAUUUGGUUGAAAUCCAGAUGAAAUUUUGCAAUCUCUAUUUGUGACCAAAUUGGGAUGUCAAAAUCAAGGCUUUAAAAUAAAACAUUUUUUAUCUUGUAAUAAUUUAAUUUUGGAUGUAACACGUCUUCUGAUUGGCUGAAAGUGUUUUGUCUAUCAGCUCAUAGACAUAAUUUUGUCAUGUGACUGUGACGUCAACAUUUUUAUCAACAUUUACUCCUUUUUAGAAUUAAAUUAUAAGGAACAACUGUAAUAUUUUUUCUGUCUUUUUCGAAAUAACCCCAAAAAUGUGGUGCACACUUUUAAAUAACCUGCUACCUGGUUAUUCAGUGUGCACCACAUAUUUGAUGUUAUUUCUUCAUAAAAAUAUUAGUCAUUCCUUAAACAUUGAACCUAAUAAUCAUAAUAAUAAUAAUCAUAAAGCAAUGGAUUUGUAAAUACAUGACAUAGUAUAGCAUGAUCACUGUAUUUGGCCCUUACCGAACUCACUCAUUUCAUGGGAUGGAUGGAUAGAUGGACAGAUGGGUAAAACAAAAUAGGAACAGGGGUAUCAUAAAUAUCACUUUUCCAUAGAAAUAAAAACCUUGAUUCUUCUGGGGUUGGCUUGAGCUUGCAGUUGUAGAAAAUAUUGGCAUUUUUAAAUAAACUUUCUGACGCGUUAAUGAUAAAUGGAAGUUCACUUCUACAUCAGUUACAUUAAACAACUCUUUCCCAAUAUGAAUUAUAAAUUCACCAGAUCUUGUUCUCAAAUUAUACAAAUAUUCCACCUGGCAGGGGGACAUUGUAUUACAUAAGCAAUACCUCAAGAAUGUGUGUUAAUAAAUAAAUUGAAAUUCUUCCAAUAAAUCCUUAAAAAUAAACUUACUUUUUACAUUUUUUAACUUCCCUUACUAUAUUUGUCAUUUGAUUAUUCCCCAUGUGCUAAACAAAUAUGACUUAAAAAGUAAAAAGAUAAUGUAUUCAUAAAUGUUAUAAUGAACAUGUGUAUUUGUUUUGACAUUUAUCAUGUGACUAAGGUCUACUCAGUAAUUGAGUAUUUCACGAGUUAAAAUAAGUGUUAAGAAUUGUAACGGUAAAUCUAUGUUUAAUUACGGUAUGUGUUAUUCGAAGCUUGCUUCAUACAGUUGAGUCUGGUCAUUUCUGAUCCCCCACCUAUCCACUUAUAUUUUAUCAAAGUUUUAUUUGAUGUAUUCAUACUUGUAUGUCUGAUUUAAGUGGACAUUUUUAAGAUUUUACAUUGUUGAAUUGAUUGGUAACACAAAUUAUUUUUUUUGUAAGUUGUGUAUUGAUUAAUGACAUGUUGAGGCAGCGGCUAAGGACAUGCAGACAAAUAUGAACAUUGGUGCAUUGUAAAUAAAAUUGAUAAAAGUUGCUUAACUGUACUGUCCAGAGGAGCUGAUAACCCAAA